CCAUUUUGAACAAACGAAAACAUUAGAUCCCAGUCCUUGCCCGUGAGGAUACCUUCGACGUUCUAGAAAAUUAAAACUAAAAGAAUGAACACUAUGUGAAACGUAAAUUAUGAUAUAAAACUAACUUUAUUUAUUCUGGAUUGCUCAGUUCUGACAUCCCCAAUAUUGACCUAUUUACUGACGUUGCUAUCUGGCCCGCGUAUUUACUCAGUUGUCAGCUGAAGACACAAACUGCAAAGCUGGAAAUGUAGUAAUGAAAAUUAUGAAAGUGAUGAUGCUUCGACCAAACACUCUUCUAAAUAUCGCGAUCAUAUUUAUGGUUAUAUGUUACAGUAAGUUUAUGACAAAAUACUUAUGUUUCAAUGUAGGAACUAAUUAAUUAUUCUACAAUAAGCUGUCGUGGUUUGUGUCUGAACUACCUGAAAAAGAUAUCUCAAACGUAGUGGUCCACAGGUCCAGUGUAGGUAGUAUUCUUCAAUAAGCUGUCGUGGUUUGUGUCUGAACUACCUGAAUUUUUUAAUCAUUUUCAUGUAGUUUAGACACCCACUGAGCCACUAAUCCAUACAACAUUUGAUCUGUCUAAAUCUAUCUAGGAAUCAAAACAGUCGGAGCAACAAAUCCCAGUGAUGUGUGUUUCUUAGAAAAAGAUGGUGGACCAUGCUAUGCUGAUUUUCCAAGAUUUUACUACGACAAAAUUUCCAAGACUUGCAAACAUUUUACUUACGGAGGAUGCGAAGGAAACGGAAAUAAUUUUGAAAAAAUAGAAGAUUGUAUCAUGACUUGUGUGAAUAUAUGAUUAAAACGUUAUAAAUCUUUGACAUACACCUUGGAAUUUAAUUUUGAACCAACUGUCUGUAAGCACUAUCAUGCAACUGAUCAGGGCCUUUCAGGGGGGAGGGAGGGGGGGGGCAAAGGGGGCAAUUUGCCCCGGGCCCCAGUUUAAGGGGGGCCUCAAAUUUGCAAAAUUGUUGAACGUUUUUUGAUAUAAAUCAAUCAGAUAAUGGUAUGAGAAAAAAUUUUCUAAACCUAAAUUUUACAGAUAUUGAUCCAAAAAAAGGAUUUUACCCAUGUUUUGACAGGAAUUUGUCUGAGAAAAAAAUUUGGCCCGGGCCCCCAAAUUUCUCUGAUAGGCCACCCAGCCUAGUCCGUAGGCCUCUAGAUAGGCCCUACAGCUGGUGAUGUGAUCACACUGAGAAAAUAAUAUUCAUUUAUAAUAUGUUUGAAGAGUUUAGUACAUGGACAUUUCUAGUGUGAAUUUUAUAUAUUUAUUACACCUAACCUGGAGCAACUGUAAAAAAUGCAACUACAGGCCUUCUGGCAGGAAUUGACCCUUCAAUGUCAUCCUUGAUUUAUAGUAGUCUUGUAGAUGGAAGCAAAUAAAUAGAAGACAUCAAUAGACCUUACCGAUUAUUCUCUUUUACCCAAUGGCCUCGUUUUCAUGUCAAGCCUAAGAACAGCAAGAAACAAAUUCGUCCAGGAAAACAUGGGAAUCAAAUCUUUAUCUGCUCCUGACAUGCUAAAAUAAGUUAACAUGGAAACGAGGUCAUUGCGUAAAAGAGAACUGAUCGGUAAGGUCUAUUUUCUGAAACCCACCACGUUCGCCGAUGGCAAAGGAUUAUGGGUGGAUAGGAUGAGACAUUGACGUCAUCCAUGUAAUGGUUAAUGACGCUCACUAGACUCACUAGCUUUCAUACUUAACAGCUACUAAAGAGUACAAAAUAUUAAAGUACAUUGUUUAAUGUUUAAAAUUAUACUCUCAUUAAAAC